CAGAUAUGAAGCAUCUCCACAGCAUGACGCUUCCACCACCAAAGUUCACGUCUCCUCCCCGGCUGGGCCUGUGUGAUGUGAUGCAGCUUCAACUCCCUGCCGGCUGUAGACAAGACAGGGAACGAGUUACAUCGAUUCUGAUGGAGUGGUGUUGCGCGG